rnacentral:rRNA from 1 species
UACGUAGGGCGCGAGCGUUGUCCGGAAUUAUUGGGCGUAAAGAGCUCGUAGGCGGCUUGUCGCGUCUGCUGUGAAAACGCGGGGCUUAACUCCGCGCUUGCAGUGGGUACGGGCAGGCUUGAGUGUAGUAGGGGAGACUGGAAUUCCUGGUGUAGCGGUGGAAUGCGCAGAUAUCAGGAGGAACACCGAUGGCGAAGGCAGGUCUCUGGGCUAUAACUGACGCUGAGGAGCGAAAGCAUGGGGAGCGAACAGGAUUAGAUACC